GAAAUGUUGGAGACAAUGUUAAAGUUGUUUGUAUGAGUAUUAUACUCAUUCGAGUUAAGUUUAUUUUACUACUUUGCAGUUUGCACAAUAAAAAUAGUUUAGAUUCUGUA